GAAGAGGAAAGAGCUCAAAGUUGGAACCUGUUUGGCUUAGCUAAACCGGAUUGUAAACUGUAGAAGUGUUUUCCUGACACGCCUGGUAAAAAAGUCCUUUGGAACAGGGCAUCAUAGAGGGUGAGAAUCCCGUCUUUGGCCAGAGCUGUUGUCUUUUGUGAUACAUUUUCAAAGAGUCAGGUUGUUUGGGAAUGCAGCCUAAAUUGGGUGGUAAAUCUCACCUAAAGCUAAAUAUUUGCGAGAGACCGAUAGCGAACAAGUACCGUGAGGGAAAGAUGAAAAGAACUUUGAAAAGAGAGUUAAACAGUAUGUGAAAUUGUUAAAAGGGAACCGUUUGGAGCCAGACUGGCUUGACUGUAAUCAAUCUAGGCUUCGGCCUGGAUGCACUUGCGGUCUAUGCCUGCCAACGACAGUUUUAUUUGGGGGAAAAAAUUAUUGGGAAUGUGGCCUUUCGAGGUGUUAUAGCCCUUUAAAAAAUACCCUGGAUUGGACUGAGGAACGCAGUGAAUGCCUUUAGGCAAGAUUGCUGGGUGCUUUCGCUAAUAAAUGCUAGAAUUUCUGCUUCGGGUGGUGCUAGUGUUUAAAGGUGGAACUCGCUUAGUAUAUUUUUUAUUCGCUUAGGUUGUUGGCUUAAUGACUCUAA
rnacentral:rRNA from 1 species